GAUGAACGCUGGCGGCGUGCCUAAUACAUGCAAGUCGAGCGAACAGACGAGGAGCUUGCUCCUCUGACGUUAGCGGCGGGCGGGUGAGUAACACGUGGAUAACCUACCUAUAAGACUGGGAUAACUUCGGGAAACCGGAGCUAAUACCGGAUAAUAUAUUGAACCGCAUGGUUCAAUAGUGAAAGACGGUUUUGCUGUCACUUAUAGAUGGAUCCGCGCCGCAUUAGCUAGUUGGUAAGGUAACGGCUUACCAAGGCGACGAUGCGUAGCCGACCUGAGAGGGUGAUCGGCCACACUGGAACUGAGACACGGUCCAGACUCCUACGGGAGGCAGCAGUAGGGAAUCUUCCGCAAUGGGCGAAAGCCUGACGGAGCAACGCCGCGUGAGUGAUGAAAGUCUUCGGAUCGUAAAACUCUGUUAUUAGGGAAGAACAAAUGUGUAAGUAACUAUGCACGUCUUGACGGUACCUAAUCAGAAAGCCACGGCUAACUACGUG
rnacentral:rRNA from 1 species